UACGGGGGGGGCAAGCGUUGUUCGGAAUUACUGGGCGUAAAGGGCUCGUAGGCGGCCAACUAAGUCAGACGUGAAAUCCCUCGGCUUAACCGGGGAACUGCGUCUGAUACUGGAUGGCUUGAGUUUGGGAGAGGGAUGCGGAAUUCCAGGUGUAGCGGUGAAAUGCGUAGAUAUCUGGAGGAACACCGGUGGCGAAGGCGGCAUCCUGGACCAGCACUGACGCUGAGUGAGCGAAAGCCAGGGGAGCAAACGGG
rnacentral:rRNA from 1 species